UACGGGGGGAGCAAGCGUUGUUCGGAUUUACUGGGCGUAAAGGGCGCGUAGGCGGUCAGCACAGGUCAGUUGUGAAAUCUCCGGGCUUAACUCGGAACGGCCAAGUGAAACUGUCAAGCUAGAGUGCAGAAGGGGCAAUCGGAAUUCUUGGUGUAGCGGUGAAAUGCGUAGAUAUCAAGAGGAACACCUGAGGUGAAGACGGGUUGCUGGGCUGACACUGACGCUGAGGCGCGAAAGCCAGGGGAGCAAACGGG
rnacentral:rRNA from 1 species